rnacentral:rRNA from 1 species
GACGAACGCUGGCGGCGUGCUUAACACAUGCAAGUCGAACGGAAAGGCCUCUUUCGGGGGGUACUCGAGUGGCGAACGGGUGAGUAACACGUGAGUAACCUGCCCUUGACUUUGGGAUAACUUCAGGAAACUGGGGCUAAUACCGGAUAGGAGCUCCUGCUGCAUGGUGGGGGUUGGAAAGUUUCGGCGGUUGGGGAUGGACUCGCGGCUGAUCAGCUUUUUGGUGGGGUAGUGGCUUACCAAGGCUUUGACGGGUAGCCGGCCUGGGUGGGUGACCGGCCACAUUGGGACUGAGAUACGGCCCAGACUCCUACGGGAGGCAGCAGUGGGGAAUAUUGCACAAUGGGUGGAAGCCUGAUGCAGCAACGCCGUGUGCGGGAUGACGGCCUUCGGGUUGAAAACCGCUUUCGCUCAUGACGAAGCUUUGUGUGACGGUAGUGGGUAAAGAAGCACCGGCUAACUACGUG